rnacentral:lncRNA from 1 species
AACAAACAAACAAAAAACCCCAGGACACUCUGUUGUCUUGUCACUGUCCCUCACAUGUUCUGUGACCCCAGACAAACCACUUCCCUUAUCUGAGCCUCAGUUUCCCCAUCUGCAGCCCAGCACAGUCCCAGCACAGAACACAUGUUCAAUAAAUGAAUCAUGGAGAUCUCUAGUUAACCUGUAGGACUCCAGCCAGCUCGAGAGAUCUAUUAAUACAAUUCUACCCACGAUUCUGCUCUUUCGAAAGUGCAGCUUUCUUAGUUGAGUUCUUCCAGAUGCAGACUUUGAGAUGAGGCUUCAUCUGCAAGCAAUUUAUUAAGGAGUGCUUCCUGAAGACCAGCAGGGAAAAGAAGCUACAGUGUGGUGUCAAGCAAGACCCAGCCUCAGCCUGAUCAAACCAGGUGCUCUGGAGAAUGCAUUAUGACUUUGUGCUAUGGAGAAUGCAUUAUGACUUCGUACCUCAAUGCAAGACAGCUGGGCUCUCACAGUUCUGGGCCCACCAGUCACUGGCUAUGGGGCCACCUGGGAGGGGUGUGUGAAUUCCCAGGCACUUGCAUCUCUGCAGGAGUGCAAGGGCGGGCCCCUGAAGUAGGUUUAAGUGAUCGCUCUUGGAGGUGAAGCAUAACGAAGCUGGGGGAGCAACAAGAAAUACCUUCAUCUUUUUAGAGAAGAGUGAAAUUGAAGCCAGAGAGGUUGGUUAACUUGCCCAAGAUCACAAAGCUUCCAAGAUGAAGAGCUGGGAUUUCAUUUCAGGUUUCCCAUCUGGCAACAUCCAAGCCCUUUCCAUAAUUCCACACUGUGAAUUUGCUUCCCAAACCAAGAGUGGGAUACAAUUAGCUGGGGAGUGCAACUCAUCCCUCAAUCACUGAUCUGAGUAUGGAUAUCAAAAGAAACAUUUCCUGAAGCAAGACGCUGAGCUGGAAGCUUCCACGGUUGUGCCUAUACUGUGGCAGUCCUGCGCGAACCUGUCCGGCCCCAUGGAAACCUGCAGGGCUGAGGUCUCCCAGGGCAAAUGGGGCUGCAGGAUGCUCACUACACCCCCAGAAACAGGAGAAGGGACAAGGACACAGGACUGUCUGUGAGCAACACUGACUUUCGGCACAGGAGAGAUCCUUUGCCCCUCCUCACUCCAGAAUAUUGCUAAGAACAUAAUUGAUCUCUCUCCUUCUCAUUCACUCACAUCUCCCAAAACAAAGGAAGAGAGACCCAUUCAACUGAUCAGAGCCUGACUUUCCAUUGCUGAGCCAUGUUUUACUACUGAGUGGGGCAACUGCUUUAAAAAUCCAUUUGUUGCUGCAUUUUCUUGCCAGCUAUUUCUUCAUUUACAGGGUUCUGAGAGGCCUGGCCUCUGCUUCCUCCGCCCAUCCAAUAAGUACCACCUGUCUGUUGAGGGGCUCAGUGGCUUCAAGGUUUCAACCCUGGCUACAUCAUGGAACCAUCUGGGGAGCUUUCCAAGUACUGAUGCCUGAACCUUAGUCACAGAUUAAUGGAAACCUGAGGAAUGGGGACCCAUGACCUGGAGUCUGUAAGGCUUCCCCAUUGAUGUGAUGCUUGGUGAAAUCUGUUUGGGGGAAGAAGGUUCAUGAUCUGCCGAGCAAGGAGGAUGAGGGGCGAGGGAGAGGAGAUGAGGCCCAGUCCUGCAGAGCAGCAGUGACACAAGCUGAGAGCGGAUUCCAACAUGCUCUUAAGGGUCAGGUUCAGAGAGAGCUCAGGAGGCACGAGAGGACAGUGGCCCACCCCGGAGCUAUCACCUCGUCACCCUACUCUCUGCCCUCAUUCCCCCAGGCAUGGGCAGCCAGGCCUUAUAAAGUGCAGUGGCCGGGGUUCCUCUUCUUCAUGGGCCACAGGGAGGGAAGGCACUGGGAGGCACUGGGGACCAUCCCCCCAUUGCCGACAGGAGGAAGAAGAGGCGAUCCGAAGGCCGGACUGGGCACUUCCACCUAUGUGUGUUCCUAAAAAGGUCAUGCUCAUAGAAGCAGAGAGUGGAACGGAGGGUGCCAGGGGCUGGGUGGAGGGGAGAUGCCAGUCAAAGGGCACUAUAAACUGUUAGUUACAGGAGGCGGCGGCCCUGGGCUCUAAUGUACAGCAUGGUGACAACAGCUGGUAAGAACGACUUGUGUACUCGAAAUUUGCCGAGAGUAGAACUCGGUGUUCUCACCACACACAAAAAAGGUGACUGUGUGAGGUGGUGGAUGGGUUAAUCAGCUUGAGUGUGGUAAUCAUUUCAUAGUGUGUACACAUAUCAAAACAUCACGUUGGAUGCCAUAAAUAUAUACAAUGUUUAUUGGCCAAUCCUACUUUAAUAAAGCUGGAAAAAAAUUGUUUCAUUUAAAAAUAAUAUCCUAUUGUGAUCACAUUUAAACUGAUGCUGUGAGUCAGCUUCACUAUUUCCGUUAGCGAUCUGACUUUCUGUAGCGUGUGUGUGUAAAUGUUAUGAACUCAGAACAGCCUGGGGCUAGUGUCUUCUAAAUAAAUUGCACCUUCUGCUAUGUUUUUAUUAAUAAAGCACCACUAUUACUUUGGGGUGGAAAAGUCUUGAGCUUGAUCUUCCAGGGCCCCGAGGACCAGGCUGCUGUGUUGCACAAGGUGUCCUGGAGUUGUACACAGCGGGGGUCUUGCUGGGAAUUCAAUAACACGAGGAAUGUCUCAAAUCCACAACAUUCCCUUGUGAUAGGUUUUCUAAGAAAAUGUCAUCAUUUUGGACUCAGGACCUUGCAAUGUGAUCCUUCAACUGAUCCUGUCAUUCGGUGCUGGCAUCUCAAAGUGUUCUCCACAAUAGAAGCCCAGGCGGCCGUUUAUCAGUGAAGCAUGCCUCCCUGGCAAUGGAUGUUCACUCCGUGCUGUUUUCUAUGUCUCUACAGUUGGGCAUGAGUCCUGAUGCCCUGAGGCACUGUGCAGCCUCUGGUUGGACAGGGAAGGUGAGUGGGGUUGCAGGGAGCAUGUGCCAUGCCCCUGUUGUAUUCCCCCUCCCUCAGCCCGUGCCGGUCAUGGACCUGGGAGCACAGUAGUUAAUAUGGAUUUGGAAUAGGACAUUUUUCUUUAACCAUUCAUGUGCUGCCUUCAAUUCUACAAAUUGCAAUUUAUUUUGUUAAGCCCGUAAUUCUUUUUUUGAUUUGAUCACAUAGUCUGAGUGAUCUAUCUCCACUCAUCAAAGUUGGCUGUGCUUGGGCCCAAUUCUCAGCCGACGAAGCAGGCUGCGGGUGGUCAACUUUCAGACUCGCUGAGCAGGAGAGACUAUCUAGGCUACCAGCUGUCAAAAUGUUUGAGCAGCAGAAACCCUUCCUUAAAUGAAAUCAAAUGUAGAACACCAACAAGUUAAAAAAGGAAUGCAGGAGGCAAGGCGCGGUGGCUCACACCUGUAAUCCCAGCACUUUGGGAUGCCGAGGUGGGCAGAUCACGAG